rnacentral:lncRNA from 10 species
AGGAAUGAACCCCCUAAGUAGAGUCAGUGGUGAGGGUCAUUAGCUUCCUUUUGAGGAUCUUCCCAAGCUUGAGAUUCUGAACUGGAGUGGAUGCCCUUCAGGAUGAGAUCGGAGGGCCUAUUUGCACUGGGUUCCUGGAAGAGCCAAGUGCUGGAGGAGGGGAGGGCCCUGCCUGGCAGGAGGCUGGGAGAGAGACUCGGCCUCCCAGAGGCCUUCAAGGUACACAGAACUGGGGAGUAAUGAGAAACCAGGCAUGGGAGCUAGCUAGAGGGGAGGGAGAGGGACUCCCGAGUGGGAAGAGCAGAUGCCUCACUACAGAGCUGAGGAGAUAAUACCUGGCGAACCGCAGAUCCUAGCUCAGGAGGGAUGUGCCACACUCAGAAGCCUCUAAGCUGAGCCUCAGGAAUGAUGACUAAGGCAGCCCAAAGACUCUGCAGGGCCCUUCAGUGAAAGCAAAAUGCCAGGCAGGGUGUCUCUGCAACCCCAAAGGACAGAAGGAGGGAGCAACAGGAUCCCUUUUACUGGAGAGGACACUGAUGCCCAGAAAGGCACAGCCUUAUCGAAGGCUGCACAGCUGCCAAUGGCAGAAUACCACAGUGGCAGAACACCCAGGUUGCUGGGUUUUUGAAGUCAAUGCCAAGAGGAAGCUACUGAAGGGGGACAGAAGGGUCCUUAGCAGCUGCAAUCACACCCAAGCUCAUGGCCUUCCCCACGAGGCUUUCACAGACACACCCCUCAGCCAUUAUCCUAAAUUCCCAGUCA